rnacentral:lncRNA from 1 species
AUAUUUGUGUGUGACACAGCUGUGAUAGGUUAAGAGUCAGACGUUAAACCUGUCUCUGGUUCCAAUUUCAGGCCAGCUCCUCUUUUGGCAAAUGGAAAACACUCCAAGGUGCCACCGGACGUAAAGAUGGGGCCGGUUUCUACACUUAACAUGGUCAUGUGAUUUUUUUUUUUUUUUGGAGGUUGUUUGGCCCAGAGCAGCAUCACGCGGCCUGGCAUAGCCGGCCUGCACAGUCAUGUGAUCUCCGCAGUGGCUGCUGCCUGGGAGAAGAAAAGGGAAGUGUGUGUCGGAACCCGUUUUCGGCCCAGCUGGGAGGUCAGAGGUCAACUCAACGCUGAUCCAAUCAGUUCAAGCCACAAAAGGGCCGACUCAAUAUUACUCUGUCUCUUUUCCCUCUCUCCGCUGGCUCUAAAACUCUCUUUCUUUUCUUCUUUGCUUCUUGCCCUCUGGUGUGACCCAAAUGUCUCUUCUGGAAGCCUGAGGCUGACUGUGAUUACAGAUAUGCAGAUUGAAUUAGUAUACUUCAGCAUCACCAGGAAAUCACGCAUCAAGGCCCAGAGCUGGACGUGGACUAUCUGGGCACUAGCACCUCAAUCUGUACAGCCCACUGUUCAAAAAGAGCAAGAGCCCUAAAUGUGAAAUUAGUAAAGGUUGAAACUGCAAAGCUUUGAAGCACUGGGACAAAACCUGACUUUGUGUCUACCCCGAUGAGCUGGGUUUGAACGGAUCAGACUGAGGGAGAGCAGACAGACGGCAAAAAGAGCCACAAGGAUUUGAUCUCUUUAAUGAUUGAUCGCUUUAAUGAUUAUAGCUCAAAUACAAAAGUGUAAUGGUAGACAUCACAGAAACUGGGUCACAAACAAAACCUUAAGGAAAAUAUAUUCAAAGUCUACUUUUAACCUUUUUUUUUGGAAAAACCCACUUUUUAACGUUUGUUUUUUGUUUGGAUCUGAUGUUUUUCUGUGAAUUGGAGUAAAACUUUAAACUUUGAACUGAUUACUAUAGUACAGGUCAGUCUGUAGCUUUAAACCAAUUCAGCUACAUGUGUAGUAUCAGAAAGUACAUGUAUUUCCCAGACAAAGCUCUUUCACUGUCCGCAGCCAUCUCUCCCAGCAUCAGCAGCUUGUUUAUGAUCAUGAGACUGAGUGAACAUGACCUAACCAGGGGGCUGAGAAACAACUGAAAAAGUGCUGAGCUGAUGAUUUGUUGUUGCUAUAAUCAUGAUAGCUCUGUGUUUGCUUUUAUUUACGGCAAAUACGGUUCUAAGAAAACCCAUCAGAGCCGUGCCAGUCCGUCUAGAACUCUGAUUUGUUUUCCUAAAAGAGAUGAAUCUGAUCUGUGUAAUAUGUAGAGAAACUGUGCCCGCUAUGCUGUAGCACUUCCUCCCCGCAGAAACACAUACUUCCUCCCCCUGCAGGACUGACAGCUCUUCACCACCUUCCUCCUCCAGCAGCUGCAUCCAUAAAGACAUGAGUUUAUGUGGCAUGUUGUGGAUGACUUUACAUGAAGCAGCUGCAUUAUAACAUCCAUCUUACUUAGAUAGAAUUACUACACCUCUCCUGCUGCCUCCUCUAUUUCUCCUCCAAGCCAGUUAUCGUCAUCUCCAGCAACAAGUGGCCUCUUCCCUCGAUGAAUUUCUACAUCCAUGGAAAUGCAGUCUGCUCCUGACAAAGGAAGCGUUUGAGGGUGUUUCAUUGAUUCCGCACAGGGGUGACAGGUACACACGGAGGAAGUGGGUUUAUUGUUAACAAAAAUAUAACAAGUGCGCACGCAGCUAAAUACACAACAGACACACUUUAUGGUUUUCCAUGGCAGUUUUCUCUUUUCUCUUCUUCUGCUCUUGAUCAAUCCGAGGGAACGGGCUGCUAAAAUAAAAUUUUAGUGCCAUGGUAAUGUUGCGAAGCAGCAUGGCGCCACAGCUAAUGGAGAGAUCAUAUCUACAUCCCCAUUCCUGCACCCAGCUCCAUGUUAAACCCCAGUGUCUGUCAUCAUCUUGAGCUCCCAGCACGGGGACACAAUGGGCCCUGAAAGUUCAAACGUCCGGACGUAAAAUAAAAAUAGAAUUACAAGAAUGUGUUAUUUUUAGAGGUUAUAAAAAAGGUGGGGG